rnacentral:hammerhead_ribozyme from 1 species
AUCCAGCUGAAGAGUACUAAACAGGAUGAAAUGCUCCUCCUGGAU